rnacentral:tRNA from 1 species
GAGGGUAUAGCUCAAUGGUAGAGCACAUGCUUAGCAUGCACGAGGUCCUGGGUUCAGUCUCCAGUACCCCCA